AAAACAUUCCCAUCCAGUUCUCCAAGUCCUGUCAUUUUGGCCACAGGUGUGAGCACAAAAUCAUCACAGAAGCCUAAGGCUCUCGUCUCGGACUGUAGGCUAUUCUGGGCGAAGUGGAGAAGAGGGAAAGGACCACUUGUCCUCAAGAGAAAUAAACAGGAGAUAAUUUCUUUAGUCUCAGCUGGGGUGCUGCAAGGGGUACGAAGGUUCCUCUCCAGGAGGCCCCGGGCUUGUUCGGCAACGUUCGGGAUCCAGUUUGAACAACUUUAGUGCUGUGCGCCUUGGAGAGGUAAUUAGUGGUCAGUCCUUCCCUUACGAAAAUGGCGCUACUGAGCGACUCUCAGCAGAGCAUGCGCUCUGGCUGGUUUCUUCCUGGACAGGGAUCUGUGCAAGCCUUUGGUUCUCCGUCGCUUGUUGACCUCUAGGGAGAGAGGGGGCGCUCGAGCGCGAAGAGCCAACUGAAGUGACUGCCGCCAGGGAAACAACUCAACUCAUGGCUCUUAGGCCAUUAGCCUGUUCUGCUGGCUUUCCAGAAAGCUGAACAAGCGCCAAACUCUCCAUCUGUCCUGUCCCCAAGACCGAAGAACUGAUUAAGACUUUAAAGUUCAGGACUGCGGCACGUGUACCUGCUACAAGGCACCGAUAACAGAAAAUGAGCGCUUCACAUCGGAGCUACUCAACAGAUAAUUGUUGAGUGGAUGAAUGAAAAUAAUUGGCUCUGC